rnacentral:ncRNA from 2 species
CGUUAAGGUUUUUAGAUGGGUUAAUCAGGUUUAUAGGCGAAGCCGGUGCAAGUCCGGCGCUGUCGCGCAACUGUAAGGGCCUCAAACGCCCGAGCCAGGUCGCCCGUCUGAGUGGGUUCAC